ensembl:lncRNA
AACAUUAACAAUGAUGCUCACAUUUUAAAUGCCAAAUGCAAAUGAUUAUGGUUUGCAGAUAUGUACACAUACGAAGAGGAAUUUUCAUAUCCAGCUCCAGUUGAAUGACCACACUCAUAUUUACGUUCUCUGUCAACAAGAAUUUUUUCAUGGACUUUCCAGGACACUUCACCUAAAAUAAAUAGAAAAAUGAUUCUGCUAUUAAAAAAAGCUACUCUUCUGUUAGUAACAACAAUUACAAUGUGUGCUACUUCAUCUUUCCAGGAUUUUGUUUCAGACUGCUGGACAUUGCCUGAAUAUUGCCAGGUAUGAUUUAGUCCUUCAUAUCCACUCUCUGUGGAGAAAAUAACGAAGUCUUUGGUUAAUCGAAUUAAUAUAUUAAGGAAGAUAUUAAUAUUUUACAUCC